rnacentral:rRNA from 1 species
GUGAGGAAUAUUGGUCAAUGGGCGCAAGCCUGAACCAGCCAUCCCGCGUGCAGGAAGACGGCCCUAUGGGUUGUAAACUGCUUUUCCAGGGAGAGAAACUCUCGUACGUGUACGGGAUUGACGGUACCCUGGGAAUAAGCAUCGGCUAACUCCGUGCCAGCAGCCGCGGUAAUACGGAGGAUGCAAGCGUUAUCCGGAUUCAUUGGGUUUAAAGGGUGCGUAGGCGGACUAUUAAGUCAGUGGUGAAAUCCUGCAGCUUAACUGCAGAACUGCCAUUGAUACUGAUAGACUUGAGUUUGGUUAAGGUAGGCGGAAUGUGUAAUGUAGCGGUGAAAUGCUUAGAUAUUACACAGAACACCAAUUGCGUAGGCAGCUUACUGAGCCGAUACUGACGCUGAGGCACGAAAGCGUGGGGAUCGAACAGGAUUAGAUACCCCAGUAGUCC